rnacentral:rRNA from 1 species
UACGGGGGGGGUAAGCGUUGUUCGGAAUUACUGGGCGUAAAGAGCGUGUAGGCGGCCAGACAGGUCCGUUGUGAAAACUGGAGGCUUAACCUUCAGACGUCGAUGGAAACCGUCGGGCUAGAGUCCGGAAGAGGAGAGUGGAAUUCCUGGUGUAGCGGUGAAAUGCGCAGAUAUCAGGAAGAACACCCGUGGCUAAGGCGGCUCUCUAGUACGGUACUGACGCUGAGACGCGAAAGCGUGGGGAGCGAACAGG